rnacentral:rRNA from 1 species
GACGAACGCUGGCGGCGUGCUUAACACAUGCAAGUCGAACGGAAAGGCCCCUUCGGGGGUACUCGAGUGGCGAACAGGUGAGUAACACGUGAGUAACCUGCCCUUGACUUCGGGAUUACUUCAGGAAACUGGGGCUAAUACCGGAUAGGAAUACUUGCUGCAUGGUGGGGGUUGGAAAGCUUCGGCGGUUUUGGAUGGACUCGAAGCGUAGCAGCUUGUUGGUGGGGUAGUGGCUUACCAAGGCGUUGUCGGGUAGCAGGCCUGAGUGGGCGACCGGCCGCAUUGGGACUGAGAUACGGCCCAGACACCUACGGGAGGCAGCAGUGGGGAAUAUUGCACAAGGGGCGGAAGCCGGAUGCAGCAACGCCGCGUGCGGGAUGACGGCCUUCGGGUUGAAAACCGCUUUCAGCAGGGGCGAAGCUUGUGGUGACGGUACCUGCAGAAGAAGCACCGGCUAACUACGUG